rnacentral:rRNA from 1 species
GACGAACGCUGGCGGCGUGCCUAAUACAUGCAAGUUGAGCGCUGAAGGUUGGUACUUGUACCAACUGGAUGAGCAGCGAACGGGUGAGUAACGCGUGGGGAAUCUGCCUUUGAGCGGGGGACAACAUUUGGAAACGAAUGCUAAUACCGCAUAAAAACUUUAAACACAAGUUUUAAGUUUGAAAGAUGCAAUUGCAUCACUCAAAGAUGAUCCCUCGUUGUAUUAGCUAGUUGGUGAGGUAAAGGCUCACCAAGGCGAUGAUACAUAGCCGACCUGAGAGGGUGAUCGGCCACAUUGGGACUGAGACACGGCCCAAACUCCUACGGGAGGCAGCAGUAGGGAAUCUUCGGCAAUGGACGAAAGUCUGACCGAGCAACGCCGCGUGAGUGAAGAAGGUUUUCGGAUCGUAAAACUCUGUUGGUAGAGAAGAACGUUGGUGAGAGUGGAAAGCUCAUCAAGUGACGGUAACUACCCAGAAAGGGACGGCUAACUACGUG